AUACGUAGGCAGCGAGCGUUGUCCGGAAUUACUGGGUGUAAAGGGAGCGUAGGCGGGAGUGCAAGUCAGAUGUGAAAUACAUGGGCUCAACCCAUGGGCUGCAUUUGAAACUGCAUUUCUUGAGUGAAGUAGAGGUAAGCGGAAUUCCUGGUGUAGCGGUGAAAUGCGUAGAUAUCAGGAGGAACACCGGUGGCGAAGGCGGCUUACUGGGCUUUUACUGACGCUGAGGCUCGAAAGCGUGGGGAGCAAACAGGAUUAGAUACCCUGGUAGUCCACGCUGUAAACGAUGAUUACUAGGUGUGGGGGGACUGACCCCUUCCGUGCCGCAGUUAACACAAUAAGUAAUCCACCUGGGGAGUACGGCCGCAAGGCUAAAACUCAAAUGAAUUGACGGGG
rnacentral:rRNA from 1 species